GUAAACUUGCCAUCAGCUUCUUUCUAAUGAAAAUGUUCAUAUUUCAUUUGAGUCUUUUACUCCUGUUAGACUGGCAUGCCAACUUGCCAAGUCCUAUCUUUUUUAGUUUCUGCAAAAGAAUACAAUUGUUUAUUGAUCCCAAUAAUAUCUACUACUCAGUGUAUACCAUUUGGAAUUUACUUUAUUUAAGCGACGGAAAUCAUCUUAAAUCUAUAUAUAUAUCCG
rnacentral:misc_RNA from 1 species